rnacentral:misc_RNA from 1 species
CCUCUCCGAGCCGGCGUCUCCUCCCACGAGACCGAUUCUUGGCACCCGCCACUCUCACCGGAGUAGCUGAAAGACAUUUAUCUUAAAAUACGAACGUCUAGAGAGGCGGUUAUUCAGUCGUUGAAUGAGUAACAGCGUCGACAUCAAACGAAAAUGUUUUAUUGCAGACUUUAUAUUGUAAUGGAACUAAAUUAACAGCAAUUAAGCCUUUAUGUGUUCUUGAUAUAGUCUGCCUUAAUUUUGUAGUACUUUUAAUGUAAUAAAUGUCGACAAGAUGUUAAUUAAUGUAUUGCGUCUGUUACUCUAAGAUAAAACAGACUGCUUCCGAUGUAAAAAUUAUAAAAAUCAUUGGAAUAU